rnacentral:rRNA from 1 species
GAUGAACGCUGGCGGCGUGCUUAACACAUGCAAGUCGAACGGAAAGGCCUCUGCUUGCAGGGGUACUCGAGUGGCGAACGGGUGAGUAACACGUGGGUGAUCUGCCCUGCACUUCGGGAUAAGCCUGGGAAACUGGGUCUAAUACCGGAUAGGACAAUGGUUUGGAUGCUGUUGUGGAAAGUUUUUCGGUGUGGGAUGAGCUCGCGGCCUAUCAGCUUGUUGGUGGGGUAAUGGCCUACCAAGGCGUCGACGGGUAGCCGGCCUGAGAGGGUGUACGGCCACAUUGGGACUGAGAUACGGCCCAGACUCCUACGGGAGGCAGCAAUGGGGAAUAUUGCACAAUGGGCGCAAGCCUGAUGCAGCGACGCCGCGUGGGGGAUGACGGCCUUCGGGUUGUAAACUCCUUUCGCUAGGGACGAAGCGUUUUUGUGACGGUACCUGGAGAAGAAGCACCGGCUAACUACGUG